rnacentral:lncRNA from 1 species
CAUCAUGCACUCGCUGGUUCACUCAGAGCAACUUCCAGUCCUGCAAACUCCAUUCACGAUCACCAGUGACCUGAUUAGCUGCAGAUGUCUGAGUGGUCAGACCCACACCGGGAUGUGAAUCAGAGCUGCAGAAUUGCCUCCGGUAAGACCAGGUAAUCCAAUGAAAGAAAUUCAGUUACAAGGAUAUAGGAAGAGCCCGUGUCUUCAGACUCUCUGGAGGAUCUGCCACAAUAAUGUCAAAGAUAGAUAUUUUUUUCUUAAGGGGAAGUUACAGUUCACAUAGGAUGGUUGGCUGUAGGAAGUUACCAGGUAGCCUCUCAGCAACAGACAGAAACUGCUAUGGUGAAGUUGCUCAACUAGGCAAUGCAUCUCUGAAGAGUAUUUUGGCUUCCUAUCCAAGAAAAAGAAUAAUCUGCAAGGAAUUAAGUAAAUAAGAAUUCCACUUUCAAAAGUUACUAAUAAGUUUUUUUAAAAUUAACCUAGCUCCUAUAAAAACAAAGCAUUCUCACUGUAGAAGCAUAUUAAGGCAAUCCAGAAAAGUAUGAAGAAAGUGAAAAAGAAGUCAUCUGAUAUUAUCAUCCAGAGAUAAUCCAUGUUAAUAUUUUGGUGAACACCUUUUCAGACUUCGUUUUAUGCUUGAGUACACUCACACAGUUUUACAUAAACAGAA